rnacentral:rRNA from 1 species
UGGGGAAUCUUGCGCAAUGGGCGAAAGCCUGACGCAGCAACGCCGCGUGCGGGAAGAAGGCCUUCGGGUUGUAAACCGCUUUCAGAAGGAACGCGGUACUUUCAGAAGAAGGUGCGGCCAACUACGUGCCAGCAGCCGCGGUGACACGUAGGCACCAAGCGUUGUCCGGAUUUAUUGGGCGUAAAGAGCUCGUAGGCGGUUCGGUAAGUCGGGUGUGAAAACUUUGGGCUCAACCCAAAGCGUGCAUUCGAUACUGUCGGACUAGAGUUCGGUAGGGGAGCGGGGAAUUCCUAGUGUAGCGGUGAAAUGCGCAGAUAUUAGGAGGAACACCGGUGGCGAAGGCGCCGCUCUGGGCCGAAACUGACGCUGAGGAGCGAAAGCGUGGGUAGCAAACAGGAUUAGAUACCCGGGUAGU